rnacentral:rRNA from 1 species
GACGUAGGGCGCGAGCGUUGUCCGGAUUUAUUGGGCGUAAAGAGCUCGUAGGCGGCUUGUCGCGUCGUCCGUGAAAACUUGGGGCUCAACCCCAAGCUUGCGGUCGAUACGGGCAGGCUAGAGUUCGGUAGGGGAGACUGGAAUUCCUGGUGUAGCGGUGAAAUGCGCAGAUAUCAGGAGGAACACCAGUGGCGAAGGCGCCACUCUGGGCCGUAACUGACGCUGAGGAGCGAAAGCGUGGGUAGCAAACAGG